UGGCUGAGUAGUAAAGCACUAGGCUUCCGAACUGGGGGUCCCGGGUUCGAAUCCUGG
rfam:Biomphalaria glabrata isolate BB02 linkage group LG19i unlocalized genomic scaffold LG19i_random_Scaffold3, whole genome shotgun sequence.